UGCUCGUGCAUGUCCUCUGUAUCUUUUCUCUCUGUCAUAUUAUCUGCACACAAAAAGUUGUAUUUCUGUCUUUUUUGCAGAUAUACCCUCUUUUUUUCGUUUUCUUUUUUCUUUUCACCUGGAUAUUCAAUUUGACUUUGUGCACAAUCUAUUUCCAACCUGCUUAAUGUUAUUCUUUGGCCUGUAAUGACAAGGGACAUCGAGUGCCAGGGUCCUUAUUCUAUUGCAAAAGACAGCAUGCAGACUUUCUUUAAAUGGUACCAAAUUGUCUAAAGCCCCUGUUUGGAUGGUUUCAAAGGCAACCUGAGGUUAUCAGAGGUUUCUGGGAGGCUUGGUAGUGUAUCAGCCUCUUCUGACAGGUCAGUGUCUUUAAAAGGCCCCUCUCUGUGGUUCUUUAGCUUCAUAAAUAUGCCUUUUUGCCUAUUUCAAAGUAGGAAAUACAUUUUUUUAAAGUGAAAUCUGUAUUCAACAAUGCCUGGCUUUGUCUUGGCAGGUGCAAAUUCUUGCAUGACCAAAAAUCCAGGAAAAAAAACCAAAAACAAACGAAAAGAAAUAAAACUCUACAAAUGCAUACAAUAAUUUCUUUUUUUUUCUUUUCUUUUUUUUUUUCUUUUCUCCAGACUGCAACAUCUUAAAAAAAAAUGAUGUUUUGACAAUCUUGACUCUUGCUUAUGUCUAGAGAAGAGACUGAAGUCAAAAUACUGUAGACCUUCAACUCAGGAGCAUGGUUUUAAUUUUGAAGCCUGUAAGUGCCUGCAACCGAUGGACCAGCUGGCAGAUGGGAUGCAGCAGAUCAGACGGUGCCGUAUCAGUUGUGUUUAUGCUGCUUGUGAACAAAUGGUGUUACAGCCUGCAUGUUUAUCCCUUUUGAUCCAUACACAAUUGGAAAAAGGACUUUGGCAUCAAAGCACUCUGUGAUUAUAAGAAACUGAUGUCAACUUGCAGGCAUUCAAAUAAGUGUGUAUCGGACAACAUCCGGUGAAGGUACUGGAUGAGAUGCUACAAGAGGUCCAUUUAAUUGCCAGGAAUAUUCUGAAUGUGCUUCCAUUUAGGACACGUCAGCUCUAUCCUGGUUUCAGCUUCAGGU
rnacentral:lncRNA from 1 species